CAGCCGCCGCGGUAAAACGGAGGGUGCAAGCGUUAAUCGGAAUUACUGGGCGUAAAGCGCACGCAGGCGGUCUGACAAGUCAGAUGUGAAAUCCCCGGGCUUAACCUGGGAACUGCAUUUGAAACUGUCAGGCUGGAGUCUUGUAGAGGGGGGUAGAAUUCCAGGUGUAGCGGUGAAAUGCGUAGAGAUCUGGAGGAAUACCGGUGGCGAAGGCGGCCCCCUGGACAAAGACUGACGCUCAGGUGCGAAAGCGUGGGGAGCAAACAGGAUUAGAUACCCCAGUAGUCCCUGUCUCUUAUAA
rnacentral:rRNA from 1 species